AUUGAACGCUGGCGGCAUGCCUUACACAUGCAGGUCGAACGGCAGCGGGCCCUUCGGGGUGCCGGCGAGUGGCGAACGGGUGAGUAAUGCAUCGGAACGUACCCGGGAGAGGGGGAUAACCGGCCGAAAGGCUGGCUAAUACCGCAUGAACUCGGAAGAGCAAAGCGGGGGACCUUCGGGCCUCGCGCUCUCGGAGCGGCCGAUGUCCGAUUAGGCUAGUUGGUGGGGUAAAGGCCCACCAAGGCGACGAUCGGUAGCGGGUCUGAGAGGACGAUCCGCCACACUGGGACUGAGACACGGCCCAGACUCCUACGGGAGGCAGCAGUGGGGAAUCUUGGACAAUGGGCGCAAGCCUGAUCCAGCAAUGCCGCGUGGGUGAAGAAGGCCUUCGGGUUGUAAAGCCCUUUCGGCGGGGAAGAAAUCGGUCAGGCGAAUAGUCUGGCCGGAUGACGGUACCCGCAGAAGAAGCACCGGCUAACUACGUG
rnacentral:rRNA from 1 species